AUAACUGUACAAAGGUAGCAUAAUAAUUAGUUUUUUAAUUGAAAACUAGAAUGAAAGAUUUAAUGAAAUAUAAACUUUAUUAAAUUAAUAACAAUUUAAUUUUUUUUUUAAGUAAAAAAACUUAAAUAAAUUUAAAAGACGAAAAGACCCUAUAGAAUUUUAUAUUUAUUUGGGGAAAAUUUAAAAUUUAAUAAAUUUUUAAAAAAAAUUACAAAAAUUUUUGAAUAUUUAAUAUUUAAUUUAAAAAAUAAAAUAAAUUACCUUAGGGAUAACAGCAUAA
rnacentral:rRNA from 1 species